AUUGAACGCUGGCGGCAGGCUUAACACAUGCAAGUCGAGCGGGGAAAUAUAGCUUGCUAUAUGACCUAGCGGCGGACGGGUGAGUAAUGCUUAGGAAUCUGCCUAUUAGUGGGGGACAACAUUUCGAAAGGGAUGCUAAUACCGCAUACGCCCUACGGGGGAAAGCAGGGGAUCAUUUGACCUUGCGCUAAUAGAUGAGCCUAAGUCGGAUUAGCUAGUUGGUGGGGUAAAGGCCUACCAAGGCGACGAUCUGUAGCGGGUCUGAGAGGAUGAUCCGCCACACUGGGACUGAGACACGGCCCAGACUCCGACGGGAGGCAGCAGUGGGGAAUAUUGGACAAUGGGGGGAACCCUGAUCCAGCCAUGCCGCGUGUGUGAAGAAGGCCUUUUGGUUGUAAAGCACUUUAAGCGAGGAGGAGGCUCCUGUAGAUAAUACCUACAGUGAGUGGACGUUACUCGCAGAAUAAGCACCGGCUAACUCUGUGCCAGCCGCCGCAGUAACAC
rnacentral:rRNA from 1 species